CUUGCUAAAGAGGAGAAGGAGGUAACGCACACAAGUGCCUUUGUCUCAGGGUCCCCACGGUGCCCAUCUUGAGGGAUUUGCGGGCGCCUUGCAUUGCCCAAGGCCUGGCUUGAGAAGCAGAACAUGGAGAGAGAGGUUGCAGCCUGCAGGAAGCUGGCCAGCCAGACCUGCCGGGCAGCGGGACCCGCGGGCAGUGCCUCUGACUCACGGCACGUCCUUGAUGCGCAGUGCUCCCCUCCCCACUUUCUCUGCCCUCCUGUGGAUCACGGGUGUCCUAGGGCUGUUGGGAGCCUGGAUUAAAGUUGCUGAGUGGCCGGCUGAUGAUCAGAUCCAGGGAGUCAGACCAGAGGUGGGGACAUCUUUUCAAAGGCAAGAAGAUGCUGCCAAGACAGGGUCUUGCUUUGUCGCCUAGGCUGGAGUGCAGUGUUGAGAUCAUAGUUUACUGCAGCCUCGAACUCCUGGGUACAAGGAAUCCUCCCUCCUCAGCCUCCUGAGUAGCUGGGAUUACAGACACGAAUGCAGAGUUUGAGUCCAGAUCCCAAAGCCCGGUACACAAGUAUCUACGGAGCCCUCAAGAAAAUCAUGCGGACCGAAGGCUUCUGGAGGCCCUUGCGAGGCGUCAACGUCAUGAUCAUGGGUGCAGGGCCGGCCCAUGCCAUGUAUUUUGCCUGCUAUGAAAACAUGAAAAGGACUUUAAAUGACGUUUUCCACCACCAAGGAAACAGCCACCUAGCCAACGGUAUUUUGAAAGCGUUUGUCUGGAGUUAGAAAGUUCUCUUCUUCAACACGUCCCUCCCCAGGGUGUUCCUCCCUGUGACCCAGCCGCCUCGACUUCGGCCCGCUUGCUCACGAAUAAAGAACUCAGAGUUGUGUGUGCAAUGCACACCCAGACACACGCACACACAUGCGCGCGCACACACAUGCUUUUUUCUGUUCCCCUCCGCUUUCUGAAGCCUGGGGAGAAAUCAGUGACAGAGGUGUUUUGGUUUUAUUGUUAUGUGGGUUUUCUUUUCUAUUUUUUUUUGUUUUGUUUUUAAACAUUCAAAAGCAAUUAAUGAUCAGACAUAGGAGAAACCCUGAAUAGAAACAAAACUUUUGAAUGCUGGAUUCAAAAAAAAAAAAAGUUAUCUGGACAGCUUCUUUGAGACUAUUUAAAAACUGGUACAACAGGUCUCUACAACGCCAAGAUCUAACUAAGCUUUAAAAGGUCAAGAAGUUUUAUGGCUGACAAAGGACUCGCGCAACGCAGAAGGCCUUUCCCACCUUAAGCUUCCGGGGAUCUGGGAAUUUUACCCCCAUUCUCUUCUGUUUGUCUGAGUCUCAUCUCUCUGCAAGCAAGGGCUGAAAUCAUUUUGUUUGGUUGUUUUGAGGGAGAGAGGCGGGGUGGGGGGGUGCAAAUCUGCCAGCAGCUCUUACAUAAGGCAUGUUUUAUUGCGGAGGGCUGAGCUUUUAUUUUCUCCUCUCCAGUGGGGUUGGCUUUUGUUGUUUCUUGUUUGGGUUUGGAAUGGAAAUAUGGAUAGCAGCAUAAAGUACUUUUAUUUUGACAAAAUUCAUUUUUUUCAACAAUGGAGACAUAGAUUUGACCAACAAUAACUUCUCCCCCUCUCUUUUUACUCUGCUCAAAAAGCAUCUCUCCUCCCAUUACCCAACCUUGGUCAUAAGUGUGCCUGGCUGGUUUGCAGAUAUUUGUUCUGCUUUGUAAAAAUUGGCCAUUAGUGCAUUUAUUGAGAUGAUCUCUAAAGAGCUAUGCCCUGACCUACCCCUGAUUCUAUGACAUUGGGGCCCUUCUUUUGCUGAAACUGCCUUACAUAAUGGUUUUACUCCUUGAAAGAGAUUUGACGGAAUCCAUUUUAUGCCAAGUGCUGCCCUGCACUGUUUCUGCAAUGUGUGGUGUAUGCUGUGGUGAUCUUGCUGGGAAUGAUUAUAAGUGUGUGUGUGGUGGGGGAGUGGGUACUACAUGCAUUGCUGAAGAGUCAUCCUGGUGUUCCUCAUUCCUCCCACCUUCCCGUGGUCAUUUUAAUUACGGGGCAGUGUCACCGCAAAGGGAGGAAACUCAAAGCCGAAAGCAAAAUUCCAGGCCUGAUUCUGGCUUUUGAGGUUCCUGGUUCUUGAAGCCAGGCCUGACCCGACUCUCAGAUGGGGUCAGUCCCGUCGCUUUGCAGACUGACCCUGGAAAUCUACAAAAUGCAGAUUCUCCUGAUUUCCUCUUUUCUUGCCCAGUUUUUUUUUUUUUUUUUUUUUUUUAAAGCCUGGAUUUUAACCAGAUUUUCUUUUUUCCCCCUUCUCAGCUGUAGAUAUGAUAUUAUCUCCUUUCAGGGCCCCAGCUUAAGGGCAAAGUGAGUUAAUGUGUAGACAAAGGCGAGGGACAAGAGAGAGUUAACAUCUAGACAGUGGAAAAAGCCAUGGUGUGUGGUUUCUGGGAACCACCAACACUUGCAGGUUUAGCUUUUUCCCAGGGUUGACUACAAGAAAGAAAACCAUGUUUUUGCAAGAUUAAAAUGUGGUUGAGUGUGCCUAAAUUAACCAUCCCCAUUUUUAUCGUAUUUCCACCGUCACUUUAGGGUUUUAAGAGUCAGUGCUCACCUGGGCGGAGCUGGUAGUACAUUUUGCUUCUUAGAAAGCUAAGUCCUGGGUUCCGUCCGAUUUUAGGUUCCAGGAACUUCCUGAGAACACCCGAUCGCAGAGGGUAAUUUUCUGGAGUUUGUUUUGCAGGGAUAGCUGGGAGUAUGGCCACCCUGCUCCACGAUGCGGUAAUGAAUCCAGCAGAAGUGGUGAAGCAGCGCUUGCAGAUGUACAACUCGCAGCACCGGUCAGCAAUCAGCUGCAUCCGGACGGUGUGGAGGACCGAGGGGUUGGGGGCCUUCUACCGGAGCUACACCACGCAGCUGACCAUGAACAUCCCCUUCCAGUCCAUCCACUUCAUCACCUACGAGUUCCUGCAGGAGCAGGUCAACCCCCACCGGACCUACAACCCGCAGUCCCACAUCAUCUCAGGCGGGCUGGCCGGGGCCCUCGCCGCGGCCGCCACGACCCCCCUGGACGUCUGUAAGACCCUUCUCAACACUCAGGAGAACGUGGCCCUCUCGCUGGCCAACAUCAGCGGCCGGCUGUCGGGUAUGGCCAAUGCCUUCCGGACGGUGUACCAGCUCAACGGCCUGGCCGGCUACUUCAAAGGCAUCCAGGCGCGUGUCAUCUACCAGAUGCCCUCCACCGCCAUUUCUUGGUCUGUCUAUGAGUUCUUCAAGUACUUCCUCACCAAGCGCCAGCUGGAAAAUCGAGCUCCAUACUAAAGGAAGGGAUCAUAGAAUCUUAAAGUCAUUCUCUGCCUGCAUCCAGCCCCUUGCCCUCUCCUCACACCUAGAUCAUUUUUUUUUUUUUUUUUUUUUGCAGGGUGCUGCCUAUGGGCCCUCUGCUCCCCAAUGCCUUAGAGAGAGGAGGGGACAGCACGGCCGCUCACCGGAAGGCUGUGUGCAGGGACAUCCGAGGUGGUGGUGGACAGGAAAGACUUGGGAAGGGGAGCGAGAAAUUGCUUUUUCUCUUCCUCCCUGGGCAGAAUGUAGCUUUUCUGCUUCACUGUGGCAGCCUCCUCCCUGGAUCCUUAGAUCCCAGAGGAGGGAAGAAAAUUUACAGUGACUGAAAACAGU
rnacentral:sRNA from 1 species